GAGGAAAGUCCGGGCUCUAUUUAUAAAUAUAUAGCUUUAUAAAAUAAAGUGUAGGUAACUAUAAGGAUCGUGCCACAGAAAUAUACCGCCUUCAUUUUGUAGGUAAGGGUGCAAUGGUGCGGUAAGAGCGUACCAGAGAUACUAUUAAAGUAUUUGCUAGGUAAACCCCGUGUUAGAGCAAAGAGGUUAUUAAAUAUACAUUAGUGCUAUUUUUAUAAGUUUUAUGUGUUGCUUAUUGCAUUAAUCAUUAAUACCGCAUAAAGUAUUUGAUUUGACUUAAGAUUAAUAAUUACCCUUUUCAAUCCAGCUGACUGAAUUAUACCUUUGAAAAGAACUAAACCCGGCUUAU
rnacentral:RNase_P_RNA from 1 species